UACGAAGGGGGCUAGCGUUGUUCGGAUUUACUGGGCGUAAAGCGCACGUAGGCGGAUUGUUAAGUCAGGGGUGAAAUCCUGGAGCUCAACUCCAGAACUGCCUUUGAUACUGGCAAUCUUGAGUCCGGAAGAGGUGAGUGGAACUCCUAGUGUAGAGGUGGAAUUCGUAGAUAUUAGGAAGAACACCAGUGGCGAAGGCGGCUCACUGGUCCGGUACUGACGCUGAGGUGCGAAAGCGUGGGGAGCAAGCAGG
rnacentral:rRNA from 1 species